rnacentral:tRNA from 3 species
GGUCCUAUAACUCAGUUGGUUAGAGUAUCUGACUCAUAAUCAGAAAGUCCAUGGUUCGAGCCCAUGUGGGACCA